rnacentral:rRNA from 1 species
GAGUUUUGAUCAUGGCUCAGGAUGAACGCUAGCUACAGGCUUAACACAUGCAAGUCGAGGGGCAGCAUGGUCUUAGCUUGCUAAGGCCGAUGGCGACCGGCGCACGGGUGAGUAACGCGUAUCCAACCUGCCCACCACUUGGGGAUAACCUUGCGAAAGUAAGACUAAUACCCAAUGAUAUCUCUAGAAGACAUCUGAAAGAGAUUAAAGAUUUAUCGGUGAUGGAUGGGGAUGCGUCUGAUUAGCUUGUUGGCGGGGUAACGGCCCACCAAGGCAACGAUCAGUAGGGGUUCUGAGAGGAACGGUCCCCCACAUUGGAACUGAGACACGGUACCAACUCCUACGGGAGGCAGCA